rnacentral:rRNA from 1 species
AUUGAACGCUGGCGGCAGGCUUAACACAUGCAAGUCGAACGAGAGGCGGACGGGUGAGUAAUGUCUGGGAAACUGCCUGAUGGAGGGGGAUAACUACUGGAAACGGUAGCUAAUACCGCAUACCAUCAGAUGUGCCCAGAUGGGAUUAGCUAGUUGGUGGGGUAAUGGCUCCCCAAGGCGACGAUCCCUAGCUGGUCUGAGAGGAUGACCUGCCACACUGGAACUGAGACACGGUCCAGACUCCUACGGUAGGCAGCAGUGGGGAAUAUUGCACAAUGGGCGCAAGCCUGAUGCAGCCAUGCCGCGUGUGUGAAGAAGGCCUUCGGGUUGUAAAGCACUUUCAGCGGGGAGGCGUUACCCGCAGAAGAAGCACCGGCUAACUCCGUGCCAGCAGCCGCGGUAAUUC